AGCGAGUGAUGCAGCCAAGGAUGACUUGCCAACAUCCACUAAAAAUCCGAAGGGAAAAAACCGUGUUGUGUACGACGACAUCAGAUGCAGGGGAGAGUUGGCAAGUAUCCUUGGCUGUGUAUCUUGCAGU
rnacentral:pre_miRNA from 1 species